GACGAACGCUGGCGGCGUGCUUAACACAUGCAAGUCGAACGGAGAGGCCCAGCUUGCUGGGUGGGCUCGAGGGGCGCAGGUGUGUAUAACACGAGUAUACCGUGCUCAACACUGGGGUAUACCUGCGAGAAAGGGGGUAAAAACGGGUAGGAGCGCCUACCGCACGGGGGGUGUUGGGAAGAUUUAGCGGUUUUGGAUGGACUCGCGGCUUAUCAGCUUGUUGGUGGGGUAGUGGCUCACCAAGGGGACGACGGGUAGCCGGCCUGAGAGGGUGACCGGCCACACUGGGACUGAGACACGGCCCAGACUCCUACGGGAGGCAGCAGUGGGGAAUAUUGCACAAUGGGCGGAAGCCUGAUGCAGCAACGCCGCGUGAGGGAUGACGGCCUUCGGGUUGUAAACCGCUUUCGGUAGUGAAGAAGCGAGAGUGACGGUACUUGGUGAAGAAGCACCGGCUAACUACGUG
rnacentral:rRNA from 1 species